AGAGUUUGAUCCUGGCUCAGGAUGAACGCUAGCGACAGGCUUAACACAUGCAAGUCGAGGGGCAGCAUGGUUUGUAGCAAUACAGAUUGAUGGCGACCGGCGCACGGGUGAGUAACGACGUAUGCAACUUACCUAUCAGAGGGGGAUAGCCCGGCGAAAGUCGGAUUAAUACCCCAUAAAACAGGGGUCCCGCAUGGGAAUAUUUGUUAAAGAUUCAUCGCUGAUAGAUAGGCAUGCGUUCCAUUAGGCAGUUGGCGGGGUAACGGCCACCAAACCGACGAUGGAUAGGGGUUCUGAGAGGAAGGUCCCCCACAUUGGUACUGAGACACGGACCAAACUCCUACGGGAGGCA
rnacentral:rRNA from 1 species